UACGGAGGGUGCAAGCGUUAUCCGGAUUCACUGGGUUUAAAGGGUGCGUAGGUGUGCAGGUAAGUCAGUGGUGAAAUCUUCGGGCUUAACCCGGAAACUGCCGUUGAUACUAUCUGUCUUGAAUGUAGUGGAGGUGAGCGGGAUAUGUCAUGUAGCGGUGAAAUGCUUAGAUAUGACAUAGAACACCAAUUGCGAAGGCAGCUCGCUACACUAUUAUUGACACUGAGGCACGAAAG
rnacentral:rRNA from 1 species